rnacentral:snRNA from 1 species
GGACUUCAGUGAUUUGGAA